ensembl:lncRNA
CUUGAGGAAAAUGAGCAUUUUCCUACUUUUUGCAAGGUCGCUGCUCCAUGUGAGACGAUUGGAGGAUUUUCAAGCAAAGAAAAUCUCCUCAGCCAUAGGAGAGAAAGCUACUUCCACAGCCCCCCGGUACAUAGUUGCAUAUUCUUCAUUGUGGGUCCUUCUAGUUGUGGCAUGUGGGACGCUGCCUCAGCGUGGUUUGAUGAGCAGUGCCAUGUCUGCGCCCAGGAUUCGAACCAAUGAAACACCGGGCCACCUGCAGCGGAGCAUGCAAACUUAACCACUCGGCCACGGGGCCAGCCCCUAGGGACAGUUUUCUUGGACUGUUGGGCUGCUCUUGAUAAAGAGAUUAUGGGAGUGACAUCAGCAUCAUGGCAGAUUCACAGCCUGGUGACCGGGUGUUCUGGAAGCAUCAUCAGAGGAAGACAGGUCUUGAGCCCCACUGGAAAGGACCUUACCAAGUGCUCCUAACCACUGACGCUACUGGAGAACUAGAAUGCAUUGAACCUUGCAGAUACAUCUCACGGCUAAAGAAGUCUCCACCUGACAUCCAGUCCUGUACAAGCACUGGAGACCUCCAAAUAAAAUUAACUAGGAAGAGAAGCUGCUGACAUCUGAGGCAGACAGCUUUCCCAAGAUGGGGGGACCAGGCCUGUAUACCUUUUGCUCGCUGUUGCUUCCUACUGUAUAUUCUCCCUUUCCUUCUUGGAAAGACAAUACUCUUAAUUGCAUCUCCCAACCUAUUACAAAAGGGGGAAAUCUUUCUGAAUAUUGAAUUUGUCAUCAGAAGCCUCAUUCUAUAUAUGGAUCUAGGGCAUCCUUUAGUAUAUUUAACCGCCAGUCUCUCCACCAUUCCUCACCUAAUUCCUUGUGCUAGGUGUCUAGAACUUCUUGCCUAACCAAUCAAACCUCCAGAGAUUAAGAGGUAACAUUUGUAUCUGUUGUAAAUACCUCGUCUUACUUGAGUAAACACCUCUGGCAAAGUAGAGACAGACUAGACAGAAUUUGAGCACAAAUGGGUAAAUGCAGUGCCCACUGACAUCCCAUGGUUAGUUGAUCUCUUUAGCUGGCUGCCCUCAGGUCUAUUCAGGUCUAUUCUCCAAUUUGGACUUAGAAUUUUGUGUGUUAUUGUGGGAAUUCUCAUUGUUAUAAAACUUUGUCUCCUCUGCAUAGUUCGAUGUUUUAAAAACACCACUUGGAUAAUGACUGCUCAGUGCUUUGAAAUAAUUACUAAAGUUUAUGAAAUUUCACAUGAGAAACUUCAAGGAACUGUAGAAGAUGUUUACCCUUAAAAUAACUUCACAGUAGAGCCUUCCUCUGCUCUGGUGUUCUGUCACUCAAAUGUGGCCUAAAGGCUCCUAAAGAAACCUCUUUCCCCCCCUACAUGGGACAUGACAUAGCAGGAAUGAGCCUUCCUGGCAAUGAGGGACCAAUAUGCUCUGAUGGCUGAUCAGCACUGCUUUCCAAUAGUCUACCAGCAAUGCUUUCCAGUGUUUGAUUAGUUAAUACUUUUAGAAAAAUAUCUUGAUCAAAAGUGGAAAAUGUAUGGGGCUGGCCAGGUGGUGUAGUGGUUAAGUUCGUGUGCUCCACUUUGGCGGCCCAGGGUUUGCAGGUUCAGAUCCCUGGCAUGGAUCUACACACUGCUCAUCAAGCCAUGCUAUGGUGGCAUCCCAUAUACAAAAUAGAGGAAGAUGGGCACAGUUGUCAGCUCAGGGCUAAUCUUCUUCAGCAAAAAGAGGAAGAUUCACAAUGGGUGUUAUCUCAGAGCCAAUCUUGGUUAACCAAAGGAAAAAAAAAAAAAAAUGACUGGAGGGAAACGUGAAAGUUGACUUGAGUGGAGCCAUAUUAAAAUACAGUUGGAUGGGGGCUGGCCCAGUGGUGCAGGAGUUAAGUUCUCAUGUUCCUCUUCUCAGCGGCCUCGGGUUCGCCAGUUUGGAUCCCAGAUGCGGACAUAGCACUGCUUGGCAAAAGCCAUGCUGUGGUAGGCGUCCCACAUAUAAAGUAGAGGAAGAUGGGCAUGGAUGUUAGCUCAGGGUGAGUCUUCCUCAGCAAAAAGAGGAGGAUUGGCGGUAGUUAGCUCAGGGCUGAUCUUCCUCAAAAAAAUAAAAAAAUAAAAUAAAAUACAGUUGGAGCAGCCAUUUCAGAGGAAUUGCCUUGCAUGUCUUGUUUUCUUUAUCUUCCAAACUGGACCAAACUGCCAACAUUCCAAGUCAGUAAGGACAAGAAUAUGCUGAUUGUAAGGACUGAUGAAAUUGGACUUUGCUGAUGACUGAAUCACUAACCAAUCAAUGAAGUAUAAGUCGAGCCUUUUGCCUGAUGCCUGAAUCUCAUGCCAAUCUAUGAUAUACAAACCUAGCCUUAUCUCAUCCAGCACCGAUGAACUCUUCUUUAACACAACUCACCUCCUCUUCCUCCCUUUUUCCCAUAAAAACUCUGAGCCCUUCUCUUGUAAUCAGGACACUAUUUGUCUUUCUACCUGCGUCUGUGUCCCCUGAAUUGGAACUCUUUGAUCCCAAAUAAAUGCUUUGCCUCUUAAACAGGUUUCUGUUUUGAAGGUUGACAGUAAGAUGCUAUUAGGGGAAGCUAAGUGAAGCGUAGAUGAGAUCUCUUUGUAUUAUCUUUGCAACUCUUCUG